AUGGCUCAAGACAAUACUAAAUUGUGUGACUUUUCCAAUACCAACAACAAUGAUUUUAUUAGCACUCUGAUUGCUCCUAUCACCGAUGAUGAAUCUUGUGAAAUUAAUGCUGCUUUGUUGAAUCUUGUUAUGAAAGAUCAGUUUUGUGGCCUUCCUAGUGAAGAUGCCGCUACCCAUCUUAACAACUUUGUUUAUUUGUGCGAUAUGCAAAAGAAGAAAGAUGUGGAUAAUGAUAUUGUUAAAUUGAACCUAUUUCCGUUUUCGCUUAGAGAUCGUGCUAAAACUUGGUUCUCUUCUUUGCCUAAAAAUAGUAUUGAUUCAUGGAAUAAGUGGAAAGAUGCUUUUAUCUCUAAGUAUUUUCCUCCCGCUAAGAUCAUCUCUCUUAGAAACGAUAUUAUGAAUUUUAAGCAACUUGAUCAUGAGCAUGUUGCGCAAGCUUGGGAGAGGAUGAAAUUAAUGAUACGUAAUUGCCCUACACAUGGACUGAAUUUAUGGAUGAUUAUACAAAAAAAUUAUGCUGGAUUGAAUUUUGCUUCUAGAAAUCUUUUAGAUUCGGCCACUGGAGGCACUUUUAUGGAAAUCACUUUAGGAGAAGCUACUAAACUCCUAGAUAAUAUUAUGGUUAAUUAUUCUCAAUGGUACACCGAACGAUCUACUGUAAAAAAGUUCAUGCGAUAG
rnacentral:rRNA from 1 species